ensembl:lncRNA
GUUGAUCAGAGUCAAGACUGAAACAGAAAGUCUUUUAACUGCUGACCGUGUUUAUUAAAUGUGUUCACUGUACUCUGGAAUUGUGACCUUGUACAUUUAUUUAUUUCACAGACUUUAUCUUCAUUUAUGGACAGACAUGUCAUACAGAAACUGUCACACUUUUGUCACUUUGUUUUAUGUCUCAUAAUCCCACCUACAGAAUGAGCAGAUAAGAAAGGAAUGUGGUUGCUAAGGAGGUGUUGCUAUGGACACUGCUGUCACGCAGGUGCAGGGUGUGGGCUGUAGAAAACAGGAUGACACGGAAAUACAGGUUAGUUUGGUUUGUGGCUGUGACGGCACUUUACACACAGAUUUUACUUUUUAUUUUUCUCCUUAUUUUUGUAACUUUUUACUUGUUUUUCAUCAAACCUCCUCCAGUAACCUUUGAUUUACAGGAAAGCAAUCGGGUAUACCAAAGCUACACUUUCCAGAUUUUAGUGGAUUUUAUAUUUUUGUUUUUGAUUUUUUAUCAUAAUGGUCAGACGACUCUUUGAGGAUUUUGGAGAUCUCUUCAGAACAACAGUAACAGUUCCAAUCAGAGUCUGGAUUGUGGUUGAAGGUAUUUUGGACAAUUCCUCUUUACAAAACGUCUCUAGUUCAUUCAGAUUUGAUGGAUUCC